rnacentral:rRNA from 1 species
AGAGUUUGAUCAUGGCUCAGAACGUACGCUGGCGGCACGCCUAACACAUGCAAGUCGAACGCAGUAGCAAUACUGAGUGGCAAACGGGUGAGUAUAAUGUGGGAAUCUGCCUUUUGGUUUGGAAUAACACGGGGAAACUUGUGCUAAUACCGAAUAAGCCCUUACGGGGAAAGUUUUAACGCCGAAAGAUGAGCCUGCACUUGAUUAGCUAGUUGGUAAGGUAAAGGCUUACCAAGGCAAUGAUCAAUAGCUGUUCUUAGAGGAAGACCAGCCACAUUGGGACUGAGACACGGCCCAGACUCCUACGGGAGGCAGCAGUGGGGAAUCUUGCACAAUGGGGGAAACCCUGAUGCAGCGAUGCCGCGUGAGUGAAGAAGGCCCUUGGGUUGUAAAACUCUUUCGUCGGGGAAGAAAAUGACUGUACCCGAAUAAGAAGGUCCGGCUAACUUCGUGCCAGCAGCCGCGGUAAUACGAAGGGACCUAGCGUAGUUCGGAAUUACUGGGCUUAAAGAGCUCGUAGGUGGUUAAAAAAGUUGAUGGUGAAAUCCCGAGGCUCAACCUUGGAACUGCCAUCAAAACUUUUUAGCUAGAGUGUGAUAGAGGUAAGUGGAAUUUCUAGUGUAGAGGUGAAAUUCGUAGAUAUUAGAAAGAACACCAAAUGCGAAGGCAACUUACUGGGUCACUACUGACACUGAGGAGCGAAAGCAUGGGUAGCGAGGAGGAUUAGAUACCCUCGUAGUCCAUGCCGUAAACGAUGUGUGCUAGACGUUGGAAAUUUAUUUUUCAGUGUCGCAGCGAAAGCAUUAAGCACACCGCCUGGGGAGUACGACCGCAAGGUUAAAACUCAAAUGAAUUGACGGGGACCCGCACAAGCAGUGGAGCAUGUGGUU